UACGUAGGGUGCAAGCGUUAAUCGGAAUUACUGGGCGUAAAGCGUGCGCAGGCGGUUGUGCAAGACAGAUGUGAAAUCCCCCGGGCUCAACCUGGGAAUUGCAUUUGUGACUGCACGGCUAGAGUGUGUCAGAGGGGGGUAGAAUUCCACGUGUAGCAGUGAAAUGCGUAGAUAUGCGGAGGAACACCGAUGGCGAAGGCAAUCCCCCUGGGCCUGUACUGACGCUCAUGCACGAAAGCGUGGGGAGCAAACAGG
rnacentral:rRNA from 1 species